ensembl:lncRNA
GCUCUGCUGUCCUGCCCUUCCUGUGGGACCCAGUAUGGCGUUCUAGUGAUUGUUAGCAUGCGGACUGAAUAAACGCUCGGCUUCACUGAUGUUCCCAGCCUUACAUUUGCUAAACUGUGUCAACCAGAUGGCAGCAAGGACAUCUGUGGCAGUACAGAAAUCAAGAGAUGAGAAAAGGAAAUAAAGAAUCGUGGAGAGAACUGAUUUCAUGAACCAACGUGCCACUACCCAUAGAUGUGGAAGAGGUGUUGGAGCCCCAUCCAGAGGAGCUUUGUGAGAGCCGCCAGCACCCGACUGGGGAGGCCAGGAAGCCACGGCCGGCACUCAGAGCGAGGGAGCUCAGGCCCAGCUCAGCAAGGAGGCUCGACUAGAAGCCAGGCCCUUACCCAGGCCACUCCGUGGGACCCUCUGGAAGUGUUUCUCAUAACAAGAAGAGGGAUUAAUGAACUCCAGUCCUCACAGAAGCCCCACGGAAAGAGGCCGUCACCCCCACUCUACCCUGGGGAACAGGGGUCACAAAACUGCUAAGGAGCCAGUCAGAGCUGGUAACGGGAUGGAGAGCCCAGGACUCAAACCAGUCACAGGUCCUGUGCUGUUCCUCGGUCAUCUUCCUGAUAGAAAAGAGGAAAGUGCCUCCGAAGAGCCACCGUGCAGAGUAUGAGGGAGUGGGAUAAGGAUUAAAAGAAGACAGCACCAUAGAGCAAGAUGAGAGAGGUUUCCAAAGGCUGCGUCUAGGACGAGCCAGGGGACCUUGAUAGCUGAGACGUUAACUCUGCAGAGAGGAGGAGAAGAUGAACCAGAGGACGCCUAGAACCGGUGAGCACCACGCAGGGUCCUUCAGAGACGGGCGGAGUCCGUGCUGAGAGCUCCCUCCAAGGCUGGGAUAGCUUGGGCACUUCUCUUUGCUCACGGAGAAAUCCCAAAGGCAUUUGGUUUUCUUUGAGGCCUCUACUCCCCAUUUCUUGGUGGCCAUUAUUAGUUCAAUCAAAAGGUGGCAGCCUUGAGGGGCGAAUGAGCCCCCUCUUCUGAGCCAGGAGCCCGCUUCCGAAGGUGUAGCAGGCUCCGGUUUCAAGUCCCUGAUCAGGGCCAGCUGUAGCCGACCCACCCCGUCGACUCGUUGGGGACCUAGACCUGCUACUUCCUUCUCCCUGACCUGGGGGUGAAUGAGGAGGAUGAAUGGCAAACAGACACAGAGUCAGUUUAAUUUUCAGGCAGCCAGAGGAGGCCCUAGUGUCUGACUCAUCUUGCCUCUAUUUACCCGAAUGGGUGCAAGCAAUCAGAGAAACACAGGAUCCACCUGCUUUCCGGGAUUCAUUACUACAAACUCUGGUAAACAACUUAACCUCCGGCGUCCUAACUUUUCCCUGGAUCCCGCACUAUGCGGUCACCCCUGAGAGCAGCCUUCCUCCUUUGUGCUCACAGAGGGGCCAGCUAGGCCUCAGUUCUCCUCUGCUCUCUGGCACUCAGGUGCAAGAGGGUAACCUUGCUUCUAUCCCAAAGCCAAGCCUGAGCCACCAUGGGUGGAGGCAGGAGACAUCCAAGGUCACAUAGAUGUAAAGCUUGACUUGGGGCCCAGCUGCUGUGGCCAGAGGCUGUCCUUCCACCAAUGAUGUCGCUAACCUGAGGAGCUGGAGCCAGCAGCGCUUGAUGCCCUGCCAUCCCGCUACUGCCAGCAACAGGACUCUGCUCCUCUGACCUUUGGCCCAGGCGCCUCCCGUUGCAUCUCCUCCCAACACUUCCCAUGGUGCCCGCUGGAGUCCCCUGUCCACUGUCGAAUCCCCAACCUGUUCUUUGACUUUUGACAUUAAAACAAAAGAAAGAGAUGGAAAGAAAUGUCAGCAAUUUUCUGUUUCCCCUGUUGUUUUAGGCUGA